rnacentral:rRNA from 1 species
GACGAACGCUGGCGGCGUGCUUAACACAUGCAAGUCGAACGGAAAGGCCCUGCUUUUGUGGGGUGCUCGAGUGGCGAACGGGUGAGUAACACGUGAGUAACCUGCCCUUGACUUUGGGAUAACUUCAGGAAACUGGGGCUAAUACCGGAUAGGAGCUCCUGCUGGAUGGUGGGGGUUGGAAAGUUUCGGCGGUUGGGGAUGGACUCGCGGCUUAUCAGCUUGUUGGUGGGGUAGUGGCUUACCAAGGCUUUGACGGGUAGCCGGCCUGAGAGGGUGACCGGCCACAUUGGGACUGAGAUACGGCCCAGACUCCUACGGGAGGCAGCAGUGGGGGAUAUUGCACAAUGGGCGGAAGCCUGAUGCAGCAACGCCGCGUGCGGGAUGACGGCCUUCGGGUUGUAAACCGCUUUCGCCUGUGACGAAGCGUGAGUGACGGUAAUGGGUAAAGAAGCACCGGCUAACUACGUG